rnacentral:rRNA from 1 species
UCCGCCAACUGGGAUGGAACCCGCCCCGAUUCUUUCGGGGGGCACCAUGGGGAAUUUGGACAAUGGCGAAAGCCUUAUCCAGCCAUGCGGGUGGGGAAGAAGGCCUUUUGGUUGUAAAGCACUUUAGCGAGGAGGAGGCUACCGAGAUUAAUAUUCUUGGAUAGUGGACGUUACUCGCAGAAUAAGCACCGGCUAACUCUGUGCCAGCAGCCGCGGUAAUACAGAGGGUGCGAGCGUUAAUCGGAUUUACUGGGCGUAAAGCGUGCGUAGGCGGCUUUUUAAGUCGGAUGUGAAAUCCCUGAGCUUAACUUAGGAAUUGCAUUCGAUACUGGGAAGCUAGAGUAUGGGAGAGGAUGGUAGAAUUCCAGGUGUAGCGGUGAAAUGCGUAGAGAUCUGGAGGAAUACCGAUGGCGAAGGCAGCCAUCUGGCCUAAUACUGACGCUGAGGUACGAAAGCAUGGGGAGCAAACAGGAUUAGAUACCCUGGUAGUCCAUGCCGUAAACGAUGUCUACUAGCCGUUGGGGCCUUUGAGGCUUUAGUGGCGCAGCUAACGCGAUAAGUAGACCGCCUGGGGAGUACGGUC